rnacentral:sRNA from 1 species
AUUAAGAACUUAGGACUUUCUGUGAGCUGGUAUGUCAGGCUCUGAGUUUCUGAUCCUGGCUUGAUUGGUUUCUCAAGGCCUUGGACCUCCAGUCUCGGAUACUGAAGCGAGUUCCACUGGAGCAACCAGAAAUGAUCCCCUCCCAGAAGCAACUGGCAGCCUCUAUCUGCAUCCAGUUUGCAGAGCACUACCUGGCAGAGAAAGAGUAUGACAAGGCAGUACGGUCUUAUAAGGAUGUCUUCUCCUACUUGCCAACUGACAAUAAGGUGAUGCUGGAGCUGGCGGAGCUCUACCUGCUCCAGGGGCACCUGGACCUGUGUGAGCAGCACUGUGCCAUCCUCCUGCAGACUGAGCAGAACCAUGAGACCGCUUCUGUGGUAGGAAGCCCCCAGCACCCACUCCCUCCCUCCCUUCCUCCCUUCCCAGGGUCCCUGUGACCAGAUGCAGGCCACUUCUUAGCCGUGUAACCUCAGAUGCCUCAGUGACACACCUCUGAGGAGCUGUCAGGCAGAGAGGACUCAGUGCUGCACCUACUCUGCCCUUUAGCCGGAAGGGGUAGGCUGGCUGGCAGUGGGCAGCAUCAAUCUCCUGGGCCAGUCUAAGGUGGGGUGAGGUUUAUUCACCCCAGGGGAAAGCACAUCCACUGUAGGUGAAGGCAAGGUGGGACAGGUUCCUGGGGCUUCAGGAAAAGCCCUCCUUGGUCCUGCCUCUCUCUUCCCUAUCAUCCAGACCUCCUCUAGGGCUGGACCAGGAGCAGAAGCUGAGCCCUUGCAGAGCAAGGAGGGGUCCUCAUCCCUAUCUCUAUUGCCUGGCAGUUCUCAGAAUGGGUGGAGAGCCUUCCCCUGUAAGCUGUCAAAAAGCCCCACUGGUCUCUACCACUGGUCUUACCUUCCCAUGUACAUCCUCA